AUCAUUAUCCCCCCUGUCUCGUCUUUCCUCCAAGCUAUACAUGUUAAGAUCCUUGAACCUUUCCUGGUAAGUUUUAUCCCACAAUCAAUGAACCAGUUUAGUAGCCCUUCUCUGAACCCUCUCUAAGUUAUCAAUAUCCUUCUGAAGAUACGGUCUCCAGUACUGUGUACAAUACUCCAAGUGAGGUCUCACCAGUGUUCCGUACAAUUGCAUGAGCACUUCCCUCUUUCUACUGCUAAUACCUCUCCCUAUACAACCAAGCAUUCUGCUAGCAUUUCCUGCUGCUCUAUUACAUUGUCUGCCUACCUUUAAGUCAUCAGAAAUAAUCACCCCUAAAUCCCUUUCCUCAUAUUUUGAGGUUAGGACUCUAUCAAAUAUUCUGUACUCUGCCCUUGGGUUUUUACGUCCAAGAUGCAAUAUCUUGCACUUAUACACAUUAAAUGUCAGUUGCCACAAUUCUGACCAUUUUUCUAGUUUACCUAAAUCAUUUGCCAUUUGGCUUAUCCCUCCUGGAACAUCAACCCUGUUACAUAUCUUAGUAUCAUCAGCAAAAAGACAUACCUUACCAUCAAGACCUUCUGCAAUAUCACUAAUAAAAUUAUUAAA